UGGGGAAUAUUGCACAAUGGACGAAAGUCUGAUGCAGCAACGCCGCGUGAAGGAAGAAGGCCUUCGGGUUGUAAACUUCUAUCGACAGGGACGAAAGAAAUGACGGUACCUGGGUAAGAAGCACCGGCUAAAUACGUGCCAGCAGCCGCGGUAAUACGUAUGGUGCAAGCGUUAUCCGGAAUUACUGGGUGUAAAGGGUGAGUAGGCGGUUAUACAAGUCAUAUGUGAAAAUCGAGGGCUUAACCUUCGACCUGCAUAAGAAACUGUAUGACUAGAGUACAGGAGAGGUAAGCGGAAUUCCUAGUGUAGCGGUGAAAUGCGUAGAUAUUAGGAAGAACACCAGUGGCGAAGGCGGCUUACUGGACUGAAACUGACGCUGAGUCACGAAAGCGUGGGGAGCGAACA
rnacentral:rRNA from 1 species